CAGUUCGGAUUGUAGUCUGCAACUCGACUACAUGAAGCUGGAAUCGCUAGUAAUCGCGGAUCAGAAUGCCGCGGUGAAUACGUUCCCGGGUCUUGUACACACCGCCCGUCACACCAUGGGAGUCGGGAAUGCCCGAAGCCAGUGACCCAAGCGAAAGCAGGGAGCUGUCGAAGGCAGGCCGGAUAACUGGGGUGAAGUCGUAACAAGGUACC
rnacentral:rRNA from 1 species